rnacentral:rRNA from 1 species
UAAUACAUAAGUAACCUGCCCUAGACAGGGGGAGUAACUAUUGGAAACGAUAGCUAAGACCGCAUAGGUACGGACACUGCAUGGUGACCGUAUUAAAAGUGCCUCAAAGCACUGGUAGAGGAUGGACUUAUGGCGCAUUAGCUGGUUGGCGGGGUAACGGCCCACCAAGGCGACGAUGCGUAGCUGACCUGAGAGGGUGACCGGCCACACUGGGACUGAGACACGGCCCAG